rnacentral:lncRNA from 1 species
GGUGGUGCUAAUGCAAUAGGAAAGGUAAAAUAACUAUCAAACCGCUAGGGCGCUAAGCCCUUGCCGCGAUCCUCUCGCUCAGUCGGGGCGCUCGAGCUAGUACCUGUAACGAGGGUGUGAGAACUACGAAUAGUUCCCAAUGGGUUCGGCCGCCGACUCCGCCGAUCUACCCACUAGGUCUUAAGCAGGCAUAGAGAGAUAUAUAUGCAAUAUAUAUAAAACUAAGCUAAACUGAAAGCAGGUAUUUGAAACAGGUAUAUCAAGCUAUGCCUCAAUCUGACAUCAUGGAUGCAUGAACAAUAAAUAAAGCUGGGUAAGUGCGCAACUAUGAACAUCUACAGCUAUCAUAGUAAGCUCUAAAACAUGCUACUAGGAAAGCAAAUAAGCUGAUAUGAAUAAUGAAUGGCUACUAUGAACAUCAAUCAUGGGUAAGACUCACUGGGUAAUCCAAUCUCCAAGUGAACACAAGGUUCAUAAGCAAGACUCACAUGUUAACCUCCGAGGGAUGCCUAGCUGGACUAUCCCCGAGUACGCCUGCGGAUAACAAGCGGCUAUCCGAGCAGCAAGCAGGCUGCCUCUCUAGUGACCAACUCCGGAGCGCACAACUUGAGGGGAGCGACCCCACCAAGCGCAGACAGGCAAUGUGAGCAUGAUCAACUCACUAGCAACAACAACCCUUUGUGGGUAAUAUUAGCAUAGAUCAAUAAGUUCUUGUACCCAAUCUCAUAGUGUCUCAACCACACUAAUAAGAUCAUCUCAAGUAAAUAUCAAGCAUGUGCCACUCAGUCAUAGUUUUCUAACUAGAUACUACUCGUCAUUUAGACUCAUCAACAAUGUUAGUUCUUUUACAUUAUAAGCUCUAAUCAUCUCAUAUAGGGUUGACUCUCAUCAUUAAACUCUAUCAUUUAAUCUCAUGCAUACUAGUUUAUAAAUCAUUCAAUCGACUAUAUCUAUAACUACUAGCAUGCAAUUUGAAGCAAUAUAAUAAAUCUUUAACCCUAUAAGAACAUGCACAAUAUGCAACUUGGUCAUAUUUAAACUUAGACAUAAUGGGUAGCACGAUGACUUUGGGAUGGCACUCCCCAACCUUAGGUGAUGCCGAAAACACUUCGAGACGCGCUCUCGUGCUAAUCUUGUCGCCGCUUAAUUUUUGUUGGGUUAGCUUUAACCCUAUAGCACUUCAAAUGGUGAUAUCUUCGCGCUCGAUUUUCGUAUCGACGAACCGUCUUCGCCUACGCGUUUAUAAGCAUAAGAAUUAGGUUUCCGACCCAUCAAAAUAGAUCAAAACCCUUUAAUCCCAAAAACCCCAAAAUCCAACCCUAGGUUUUGCACCCAAGGGAAUCCAUGGUUUCUAGCUUCAAUGUGAGCUAAAUUCAUGUCCUCUAAACUCAUUAGAUUCCAUUUGAACCAAUAAAUCAAACAAAAACUCACAAAACCCUAGAAUCUCACAAUUAGGGUUGAGGCUUACUCUAGGGUUUGCUCCAAAGCAAGCCCUAGCUUGAGGAAGAGGAGGGAGAGAAGCUUCUUCUUCUCCUCCUUGAUCUUCUCCUUCUUCUUCUCUUUCUUUCUCUCCUUUUCUUCUUCUUCUUUUCUUUCUUUCCCUUUUUCGGUUUAGAGAGAGAGAGCUAAGUGAGAGGGAGAGAGAACGGCUAAGAGGGAGUGAGAGAGUGGCUGAGAGAGAGGGGAUAUAACCCUCUAUUGUAACAAAAUUCCAAAAGCCCCCUCAAAAAUCUAUUUUUCCAACUUGACCUGCAGUUUCGGGUCCCUUGUACCGGUACACGGUUUCUUGUACCGGUACAAGGCCUGGCAGACAGCUCAACCCGAGGCUCGGUUUCUCGGUUGCGCAGGGCUUGUACCGGUACAAGACCCCUUUGUACCGGCACAAGGUCUGGCAGCCUCCAACCCGAGAGCCUGCGAUGGUUGUACCGGUACAACCAUCACUCUUGUACCGGUACAACAGCUCCAGAAUGCUGUUUUCACAUCUCUUCGGCUCUAUUUCGCGCCGUUUGAUGUCAAAACCAAUCCAACACCUUUGGAACUCAUUUUAGCUCUUCCAAACCCUUCAAUUGCCCACUUUGGUCCAUUUGGCCAAAGUUAGCCAAAUUCCAUCGAGAUUCAAUAUCUCACAUCUAUCUAGCAUGAAUAUGUAUGAUUUUUUAUUUUACAAUAAAGGCAAUGACAUAGGAGUUCACACAUUUCGGUGAGGUCAAACCCACCAGAUACCCGUCGAAUCCCCUUCGUUUGCGCGAACGAGUAUGCCCACUAGUCGCCUAGCUCCUAACAAAAAUUCUAAGACAGUUAGGGGUUCCGAACGAAUACCCCACAAGAUCCACAAAAUUCAACCCAUAAAUAGGUAGAAAAUUACCUUAAAUUGUGAAGAAUCCAAACUUCAAAUGAGAGCUAGAACACUUCUAAUCCAACUUAUAGGAAGGCAUUAGAACAAACAAUUUAGCCCCUAAGGCCCUAGCAAGAAAAUCUCCAAAAUAAAACCCUAGUUUCCAAAACUAGGUUUCCAUCUCAAAAAGACCCCUAAAAAAGAUGUAGUCUGCAACUGCACUGCGUACCGGUACGCGGGCUGGAGUACCGGUACCCAACAGCUGAGCUCGCAAACCCGAGCCUCUGUCAAUUGGACAGACUGCAGUGUACCGGUACUUGUGCGAUGCAGUACCUAUUCCAGGCUCCAGUAUCGGUACUCGGGCGAUGCAGUACCGGUACUCUGCCUCGCAAAGCUCAAACCAAAGAGUACCCCUCUCGGUUACGCGAUGUGGUUCUGGUACCCCUUCUCUGGUACUGGUAUCCAGCACCCUAAAACCUACACUUUGGAGGUUUUGGUGCUAAGUACCCACUCUUGCUUCUCAAGACGCGAGUAAACAGGUCGGAACAUAGUCAACGACCCUCACAUACUGUCACGCCCCAACCGCACACCCGAAACUAUUUGGUCCGGUUCGAAAGCGGCGGGCGUGAGGCCGAACGGACAGAGUCUCCCCUGUGCGCCUAAGGCUAACCAACGAGAUUGUGCACAACAAGUCCCCAGGAAAAACAACUUGAUUUCAUACACAAUCGAAAGAACGAUAACACAAACAGUACUGUUAAAACCAUCAAGAGCAAACGAUACUAGUAAAAGCAUAUAAGUAUACAAAAGAGAGAAACUUAACUAUUUGAACCAUGAAACUAGAAGUAUUUAAAUACAACUUGCAUUAAACUUCAUUUAAACCUUCAUACAUGUUUUUCCAUAUUUUCCAUAAUGAAAAUACAUCCAAAAACUCUCCAAAACCUCACCCUAUACAACACCUACUCUCAAAAUAUAAAGACAGGGUGGAGCUAAUGCAAGUAGGAAGUAAGCUACCAACUGAUACCGCUAGGGCGCCAAGCCAUCGCCGCGAUCCUCCCGCUCGGUCGGGACACUCGAACUAGUGCUUGCAACAACGGGUGUGAGAAUUACGAAUAGUUCCCAGUGGGUUCGGCCGCCGACUCCACCGAUCUACCCACUAGGUCGAAGCAGGCAUAGAGAGAUAUAUGCAAUAUAUAUAUAAAGCUAAACCAACUAAAAGCAGGUAUGAAAAUUAAGCAAGUAAGGAAAUGUAAGCAAGUAGGUAGAAUCAUGAAUAUCUAGUUAUGCCUCAAUCUGAUAUCAUGCAUGCAUGAACAACAGAUAAAGCUGGGUAGUAAGCUACUAUGAACAACAACAACAAGUAAGCUAAAAUGAACAACCAUAGAGAAGCUACUACAACAACAAAUAAUGAGUGUGACUCAAUAGGUUACCCAAUUUCAUGGUGAACUCGAGGUUCACAAGCAUAACUCAUGUGUAAGUCUCAUAGGGAAAGUCUCACUGAACUACUCCCGAGACCGCCUGCGGACAGUACACAGACCGUCCAGACAGCACACUGACUGUCCCUCUAGUGACCAACCUCCGGAGUGCACAGCUUGCGGGGAGCGACCCCUCCAAGCGCAGACAGGCUAUGUGAGCACGAUCAACUCACGACCAACAGCAUUCUACCCUCUAAGGGUAAUCUCAUCUUAGAAUCAUGGUGUUCUAAUACUCAAUCUCAUAGUGUUUCAGCUACACUAGGGUUCUCAUGUCAUAAGCGAUCAACAAUCAUAUGCCACUUGUCAUAGUUUUCUAUGUUAGAUGCCACUUGCCAUUUUGACUCGUUAUCAACACUAGUUACAUUAUACUAGUUCUUUAACAACAUAAGCAUUAAUCAUCUCAUAUAGGGUCUAGGUUUUCAUCAUAUAGUUUUCAUGCAUACAAUUAGGUUUCCGACCCAUCAAAAUAGAUUAAAACCCUAUAUGCCCAAAAAUCCCAAAAUCCAACCCUAGGUUUAGCACCCACGGAAAAUAAUAGUUUCUAGCUUUAUUGUGAGCUAGAUCCAUACCCUCUAAACUCAUUAGGUUCCAUUUGAACCAUUAAAAACAACAAAAAGCUCCCAAACCCAAGAAAUCACAAGUUAGGGUUGAGGCUUACCUCUAGGGUUUGCUCCAAAGCAAGCCCUAGCUUGAGGAAGAGGAGGGAGAGAAGCUUCUUCUUCUUUUUCUUGAUCUUCUCCUUCCUUUCCUUCUUCUUCUCUUUCUUUCUCUCCUUCUUUUCUUCUUCUUCUUCCAUUUUUCGGUUUAGAGAGAGAGAGAGAGCUAAGUGAGAGGGAGGGAGAGAAGCUAAGAGUGAGAGAGAGGCUGAGAGAGAGAGGUAUACAAAGUCUCUAAUGUAACAAAAUCCCAAAAAGCCGCUCUAUUUUCUAAUUUCCAAAGCAGACCCACUGUUUAGGGUCCAUUGUACCGGUACACGGUUUCUUGUACCGGUAUAAGGCCUGGGUGACAGCCAAACCCGAGCGCUCGGUUUCUCGGUUUCAUAGGGCUUGUACCGGUACAAGGCCCCCUUGUACCGGUACAAGGUCUUGCAGCUCCAACCCGAGAGCUGCGAUGGUUGUACUGGUACAACCAUCACUCUUGUACCUGUACAACAGCUCCAGAAUGCUGUUUUUCUCUUCUCUUCGGCUCUACUUCGCGCCGGUCGAUGUCAAAACCAUUCCAACACCUUUGGAACUCAUUUUUGCUCUUCCAAACUUGUUGGAACCUCGAAUAGAACUUGUCCAAACCGUUCAAUUCCCCACUUUGGUCCAUUUGGCCAAAAUUAGCCAAAUUCCAUCGAGUUUCAAUAUCUCACAUUCUCCACCCCUUAAAAGGAGUUUCGUCCUCGAAACAACUCAACUCAUAAUUCGAACAAAACUCUUACCUCAAUCCUCGAACAAGUGAGGAUGAUUCGCUUUCAUCUCGUCCUCGAGUUCCCAAGUGGCUUCGCGAUCGUCGUGAUUGCUCCACCGAACUUUAACAUAGGGGAUUUCUCGAUUCCUUAGCUUGCGCACCUCCCGAGCUAAAAUCUCCACUGGAAACUCUUCAUAGCUCAUAUCAUCCUGAAGCUCCGGCGGCUCAUAAACUAGAACAUGCUCGGGAUCAUGCAUGUACUUGCAAAGAUUGGAGACGUGGAAGACAUUGUGCACUCCCGCAAGUUUCGGGGGCAAGGCAAGUCGGUACGCCACCAUCCCAAUUCGCUCCAAGAUCUCGUAGGGGCCAAUAUAACGAGGACUUAGCUUUCCUCGCUCCCCAAACCUUUUCACGCCUCGCAUCAGCGAAACCUUCAAAAACACGCGGUCACCCACCGCGAACUCCAAAUCUCUACGACGUUUAUCUGAAUAGCUUUUCUGUCGCGACUGCGCCGUGAGCAACCUUUUGCGAGCAAGUUGGACUUUCUCCUCCGCCUCCCGCAAAACAUCCGGACCAAACUCAACUCGCUCGCCUACAUCACUCCAAUAAAUGGGAGAUCGACACUUCCGCCCGUAGAGAGCCUCGAACGGUGCCAUUCCCACGCUAGCAUGAUAACUGUUGUCAUAGGCGAACUUGUCACGCCCCCGCCCCGGGGCCGCUACCGAUUUGGCACGGUUCGGGCGCGGCAAGCGGACCGCCAAACGGACAGAGUCUCCCCUGUCCGCCCAAGGCUCAAAUGACGAGAUUGUGUACAACAAGUUCCCAGGAAAACACUUGAAUACAUAUACAAUUAUACAACAACUAAAGCACGAACAGUGCUGAACAUUACAAGAGCAAGCGUCACAAGUAGUAGACAUACAAGUGAAACAAAAGAGAGAUACUUAACUAUUCUAUUACAACCAUUCUACUUGAUACAUUUAAUUACAACUUGCAUUCUUUUCCAAAAUAUGAAUAUAAGCGUACAUUCUUCAAAAGAUAACAUUAGUUUACAUUUAUCUCAAAAUACCUCACAUCCUAUACAUCAUCUACUCUCAAUACAUGUAUAGGGUAACUCUAAUGCAAAAUAGGAAAGUAAACUACCAACUAGCAUUAGGGCGCUAAGCCUAUAACGCGAUCUUCUGCCGAUCCGCUCUCGUGUGUACCUGUACCCCAAAACCACACGGGGUGAAAACUAUAUAAAUAUAGUUCCCAGUAGGUUCGGCCGCCGACUUCGCCGAUCUUCCCACUAGGUCCAAGCUGGCACAGAUAGAUAGAUAGAAAGAUAUAUGGAAAUACUACUACUAUAUCUAUUAUGCCAUCAAAUGCAAAGUAUGCAUGGAACAUCAUCUAGCAACAACCUACCAUCAUGCUAGUAUGCCUCUACAGUGAAAUAAAUACAACAACAACAUAGUUAUGCAGUGUACUAUGUCUAAUCAUGGUAUGAAUGCAAUACUCUUAAGCUAUUCAUGUUAUUACCCAAUCUGCUAGGCUACUUUGCCUAAGAUCUCAAAUCUAGUAGGUGAAAAGCUACCUCAUUCUUGUCUCAUUCGAUUCAUGUCUUAAGGGUCCUGAGCAAAGAGCUACCCCGCUCCUCGCCCGACUUAGAUCUCGAAGGUCCGACCCAAUCUCGAAGGUCCUAGGCAAAGAGCUACCCCACUCCUUGCCCGACUCACAUCUCAAAGUCCUAGGCAAAGGCUACCCCGCACUUUGCCCGACUCACAUCUCGACCUACUAGGUACAGGGCUACUCCACUCAAAUCUCAUAGGUGAAGGAAUAGUAUAUCAUGAAUGCAUGAGCAAUAAGUAAGCUACUAUGAACACUAGUAAGCUACUAUGAACAACACAACAACUAUGGAAGCGAGCUAUCAUGAACAACGAUAAUGAGUAUGACUCAAUAGGUAACCAAAUCUCAUGGUGAACUCGGGGUUCACGAACAUAUCUCACGUGUAAGUCUCAUAGGGAAAAGUUUCACUUAACUAUUCCCCGAGACCACCUGCGGACAGCACACUGACCGUCCAGACAACACACUGACUGUCUCUCGAGUGACCAACCUCCGGAGUGCACAGCUUGUGGGGAGCGACCCCUCCAAGCGCAGACAGGCUAUGUGAGCACGAUCAACUCACGAAUAUCAGCAACCUACCCUCUAAGGGUAAUCUCAUCAUGGAAUCAAGGUGUUCUUGUACCCAAUCUCAUAGUAUCACAACUAUACUAAUGUUCUCAUGUCAAGGUCAUCAACAAUCAUAUGCCUCACAUCAUAAUUUUCUAUAACUAGAUGCUACUUGUCAUAGUUUUCUAAACUAGAUGCCACUCGUCAUUUAGACUCAUUUUUAACACUAGUUUCGUCAUACUAGUUCUUUAAUCACAUAAACAUUAAUCAUCACAUAUAGGGUCUAGGUUCUCAUGCAUACUAGAUCAUGGAUCAAUCAUUGAGAUGUAUAGCUACUAGCAUGCAUAUAUAAGCAAUAACCACAAUCAUCUAGCACCUAUAUGCAAUAAAUACAAUAUGCAACUUGAUCGAUUAAUGUACUCAACUACAGUGUAAUCCACAUUAAUCAUGCCCUUAUAGGGUUUCACCACACUAAGUCCCAAUCUCAUGCAUACUAGGUACAAGUAUUAAUCAAGUAACACUACACUCCCACUAGCAUGCCAUGACAUGUAAUAAUUGCCAACUAGUACCCUAUAAUGCAAUAUCCCAAUAUGCAACUUGAUCAAUGUUAACUAGAGUUUCUAGUACAACAACCAAUCCAUUACUAGUUCAAGUCAUAUGUGUUUUUAGCACAAUGAGUUCAAUGCCACUUGCAAACUAUGUUUUAAAUACAACACUAGGUGUUCAUUCAACUAGAGUCUAUCCACAUUAAUCUUGUCAUUAUAGGGUUUCACAACACUAUGUCCCAAUCACAUGCAUACUAGGUACAAGUAUUUAAGCAAUUCAACUUUACAUUACUCUACUAGCAUGCAAGAAUAUAUAUCUAUGUAUAUACAUUUAUCAUCUAGCACCUUAUAAUGCAAAACUUGAUAUGCAUAAUUGAUCAACAUAGAGAUACUUAGACAUAGGGAGAAGCCCGAUUGCUUCGGGAUGACACCCCCCACCUUUUACAGCGUUCCGAUUGCUCGUCGUCACUCGCAAUCGGCCUCCUGCGGCGCACGCCGCUCGACUUGACCCAAUCCACGGGCGACCACCAAAACGACCUCCGAUUCGCGAUCUAGUAAUUAAAGGUCUUCGGUUAUGUGCCACGGUGCUUCAAAUCCGUUUUCACGAUUUUACGACGUCGCCUCGGCCCUCCAGGCGGAAACAAAGCCUAAACGUCCGUUUCUUUAAUAACUUUGCACCGGCUCGUCUGAUUGCCGAACCGUCUUCGCCAACGCGUUUCGUUACCCCAAUGUGAACGCCGCAACGGAAACACGCUGCUCCAACGGGCGCAUAAAAGCUCAAUCCGUCGCCUCCAACACGUUCGCAAGCUCGAUCUCCACCAACCCUCCAAUUUUUAAAGAGAGAUAUAGAGAGAUGAGAGAGAUAUUUAGAGAGAGAAAGGAGGGUUUCUCUCCCCCUUUCAUGCGUGCGUGUGUGUGGCCAUGGUGGCGGUCGUCGGUUGAAGGAGAAGAAGCUGAUGCUUCUAAUUAAAGUCAACACCAACACUAUUCACUCCAGGCAGCUUGAAAUCUGAUAUCUUUCGCCGGAGCUCCCUGAAUGUCCGUUUGAGCUCAAAUUUGACAGGCACGCUCGGUUUUACUUAAUAAGUCCAAAAAAAUUUUAAUAUUUCAGUUUCGACCCCGUUUGGUCACCGAAAAUUGUACCGAACUGUAAUCUUUAUCAGAUAGCUGUCGAAUUUUAUUUCUCACUCUACGGGUGUCAGAAAAAUAUGAAACUUUAAAUCUAGCCUCAUAAAAAUAAUUCUGACAUACCCUCCAGUUUUCAUAAUUUUCUGACACUGUAUAUUUUCUGCUAAUUUAUCUGCCCCGUUUCUCACAGAAAAUCCUAAAUCUUCUGUUUUCACUCCGAUUUCGGCACAGGUCAUUUCCAACUUAUAUUUCACUUCUCUAAAUCCAAUAAAAAUAGUAUUUCAUACUAUUUUUAUUUAUUUUCACUUUUAUAUUUAAAAUCCGGUAUGUUACGUUCCACCGCAACCUCACCGGAACUAUUUAAAUAUACACCGUAACUUCAUAUUUUUUAGAAGUCCGGUACCUUACAGAACUCGGCCAUCGGCAGGUGCUUACACCAACCACCCUUGUAAUCAAUAACACACGCUCGCAGUAUAUCCUCCAGAGUCUGAAUAGUCCUCUCAGUCUGCCCAUCUGUCUGGGGAUGGAAUGCAGUGCUAAACUCGAGACGCGUGCCAAGGGCAUCCUGAAGGCUCCUCCAGAAAUGUGAGGUGAACUUGGGGUCUCGAUCUGAUACAAUCGACUUCGGCACCCCGUGAAGUCGCACUAUCUCAUCAAGAUAAACCUGAGCCAAUCUCUCGCCUGCCCAAGUGUUAUGGAUCGGUAUAAAAUGUGCCGACUUCGUCAAGCGAUCCACAAUCACCCAAAUCGCAUCGUGGCCACCUGUCGAUCGAGGCAAGCCCACGACAAAAUCCAUCGAGACGUCUUCCCACUUCCAGACGGGAAUAGGUAAACUUUAAAGCUUCCCCGCUGAAAAUCGACGCUCCGCUUUAACCUGCUGGCAUACUAAGCACUUCGCCACAAAGCGCCCAAUAUCCGCCUUUAGUCCGGGCCACCAAUAGAGCAAUUUCAACUCGUGGAACAUCUUGGUGCCGCCUAGGUGAUCAGUAUAAGGAGACCAAUGCGACUCCUGUAAUACAAGCUUGCGAAGCUCCUCGUCCGCAGGUACACACCACCGGUUCUUGAACCGAAGUGCACCAUCAGUAUCCAUAGAGAAAUCUCCGCUGCGGCCAUCAACUAUGUUCUGCCGCACCUUUUGGAGAAACGGGUCCGCCAGCUGCAGACUUUUAAUCUUGUCCAAUAGGGUCGGCUGGACUACGAGCGUCAACAACAUCGCCGGAACCUCAGGAGCUACAACCUCAAGAUUCAUCCUCCCCAUUUGCAACCAUAGGGGCGUCUGAUCGGUAGCCCAUAAAGCUAGGUUUUCAACAGACUUCCGGCUAAGCGCAUCGGCGACUACAUUCGUCUUCCCAGGGUGGUAGAGAAUAUCAACAUCGUAAUCUUUAAGCAACUCCAACCACCGCCGCUGUCGCAAAUUCAGCUCCUUCUGGGUGAACAAAUAUUUUAAGCUUUUGUGGUCGGUGUAGAUCGCGCAAUGAGCACUAUAAAGAUAAUGCCUCCAAAGCUUCAAGGCAAAGAUCACCGCCGCCAACUCUAAAUCGUGAAUGGGGUAAUUUUUUUCAUAGCUUUUUAGCUGACGGGAUGCAUAGGCAAUAACCUUUCCGCCCUGCUGACAUCAGCACACACCCCAAGCCCAGAUAAGAAGCAUCACUAUAGACGACAUAGUCCUGCCCCUGCACCAGUAAGGCGAGCACCGGAGUCGAAGUUAACCUUUGCUUCAACUCUUUAAAACUCCGGUCGCACUCGUCGCUCCAAACGAACUUGGUGCCUUUCUGCGUUAGACGGGUAAGUGGAGUCACAAUCUUAGAGAACCCCUCCACAAACCGUCGAUAAUAACCUGCUAGGCUCACAAAGCUACGGACCUCAGUUACACUCGUCGGGCGCGGCCAAUUCUCAAUAGCCUCAACCUUCCUCGGGUCGACCGAAACGUCGCCCUCGGAAAUAACAUGCCCGAGAAAUGCAACCCUCCUGAGCCAGAAGUCGCACUUCUUCAGCUUUGCGUACAACUUCUUCUCCCGAAGAAUCUGAAGUACCGUGCGCAAAUGCUCCUCGUGCUCCUCGUCGCUAGCGAAUAAACCAAAAUGUCGUCUAUGAAGAUUACGACAAAUCGGUCCAAGCACUCUUGGAACACUCGGUUCAUCAAGCUCAUGAACGCUGCCGGGACAUUUGUGAGCCCAAACGGCAUCACCGUGAACUCGUAGUGUCCAUAACGCGUGCGAAACGCCGUCUUCUGAACAUAUUCCGGCUUGAUCUUUAACUGGUGAUAGCCGGACUGAGGGUCAAUCUUAAAAUACACUCGCGACCCCUGCAACUGAUCAAACAGGUCGUCGAUACGGGGUAGCGGGUACCUGUUCUUCACCGUGACCUUGUUCAACUCGCGGUAAUCUACGCAGAGUUGAAAAGAUCCGUCCUUCUUUUGCAUGAAUAAUAUCAGGGCACCCCACGGCGAAACGCUCGGCCUAAUGAAUUCCUUGUCGAGAAGAUCCUAUAAUUGAUCUCUCAACUCCUUCAGCUCGGCCGGCGCCAUGCGAUACGGGGCCUUAAAAAUCGGUGCUGUCCCGAAAACCAAGUCAAUCAUGAACUCGAUCUCCCGGUCCGGCGGCAUACCCGGUAGCUCCGCGGGAAACACGUCGGGGAACUCCCGUACAACCGCCAACUCUUCGAGGGUCGGAACCACUCGAUCAAUCUCCACAAUGGUCGCCAAAAAGGCUGCACAACCGCUGUUCAUCAACUUCCUCGCUCUAGUCGCCGAUACCUUCGCGGCGAAACACGAACUCUUGCAAGCUCGGUAGGUGAACUCAUCAUGACCCGGCUCCCGAAAUGUGAUAACUCGAGUCGAGCAAUCGAUCGACACAUAGUACUUCGAGAGCCAAUCCAUGCCCAAAAUAACGUCGAACUUCUUCAACCUUUCGAGCACCAACAAGUUGAUCGGCAUAACCCAGUCAUUCACUUGCACUGGACAUGCCAAACAUCGCUCCCUAACCACAAAGGAUCGCCCGGGGCUCUCAACAUGCCAAAUGUGCUCCCCCAGACGAUACUCGAUAUCGUGUGCUUGUGCGAAUGAUCGACUAAUAAAUGAGUGUGAUGCGCCAGUAUCAAACAAAGCUCUAGCUCGAACACCUUUAACCAAAAUUAUACCUGCCACAACAUUGCGCUCGCCGGCCUCUAAAGGCUCCUCAACAUGCACGGGUGCGGCAUACAUCUCCCGCUCGGCACAGAUCGUGCAGGCUGAGGUUGGCGUGGCGUCGCCGCUCGCCCAGUAGAUGCUGCAGGAGGGGGCAAGGCAUAGCGAGCUGGAACCGCCUGGGCCGAAGCAGUCGACAUAGCGGGCGAAGCUCCUCCCUGAGGACAGUCGCGGAUGACAUGUCCCGCUUGCCCGCACUUGAAGCACCUCCCUCGGCGCUGCUCACAAACACCCGGCCGGUGGUCUCCACCGCAGAAGAUGCAUCGCUGAGCACCACGACCCUUGGGCUGAGAGCGUGGAUACUUCGGGGGCCUCUUGGAGCUAGACUGACCGCCCGAACCACCGCCCUGUCUCUUCUUGCCUUUAACCUUAUCGAGCGCCUCAUGGUCCUCAUGCUCGCAAGCGUUCCCGUGCUCGACCCAUAGCGCGCGGUCUAAUGCCUCCGCCAGAGAGUGGGACUUGAAGGCAUGCACCAAUCUGAAUACUCCGGGCCGUAGACCUCAAACAAAACAAUCCACCUCGUCCUGCUCUGUCGUCGCCACGCCCGGAACGCAGCUCAGGAGAUGGGUGAACUCCCGCUCGUACUCCCGAACCGUGCGGUUGUCUUACUUGAGCUUGCGAAAAUCUUCCCGCAUCUUUCUCUUGUCACUGUCGGGGAAGUACUCGGCGAACAGUAGCUUGCGGAACUCCGCCCAAUCGAUCAGGGGAAGCUCCGGGGAUCGGUCCUGCUUAACCCUCUUCCACCAAGUCCUGGCCUGCUUCUCGAAGCAAUGCGCGGCCAGGUUCACCUUGUCCUUCUCCAAAGUGAAGAUGUCCUCAAAUAGAGUCUCCAUAGCCGUCAGCCAAGACUCCACCAUCGCUGGAUCCACAACCUCUCCGUCGAAAGUAGGCGGGUGAAACUUCGUGAACCUCGUGAGCGCCACGUAACCGUGCUCACCCUCCGCCUCAUCAGCCGCCACCGCGGGUGUAGGAGAACUCGAACUCGCCGGAGGAAUAUCCAUCGGUGGGGGUUGCGCCACCACCGGAACCAAUACGCCGCCCACACCCUCAGCCACAUCAGGGGCAUGAACCGAAGGCGCAGGCGGACCGCGGCCUAGAACUGCCGCCGCAGCCGCCGCCACAGCCUGCUGCUCCGGCAGCUCCUGGAUCCUAUCGAACCGCCCAGUGAGCGAUGCAACCUGCGCUCGCAGCUCCUGCACCUCAGUAGGCCCAGGUAGCCCUGGCGCCACUGGAGGCACGGCUGGCCCGGGCACCUCUCGAGGUGGUGCCGGAGCGGUCCUACGCACGUAGCGUCUCUUUGGUGCCAUAGCUCCUGAAACGCAAACAGUUGGUUAAUUACUUAACCCAACAACGUCGUCGUAAUUGUGAAACAUAACGAUUAAACAACAUCAAUCAGGCGGUAGCUUGCAAGUGUCUUAGUUCUCGACUUUCGGCAUCGUGUUGUCGGCCGCCAACACAAUCAACUCAAGCCAAAAAUUAAUACCACUUGGAUCAUCUCUAGCCAUAGCUAGAGUAACAACACCAACUCCAAACCCAAUCAAUUAGCUUCCGCCGCGUCAUAGGUUCACGUCGCACUCACGCACCUAUAACCUUAGGGUUAACCAACCUAGGGUCUCCUAGGUCAUCAUAGACUCUCUCUUUUGCUUGCUCUUAACUCGCUCUGAUACCACAACUGUCACGCCCCAACCGCACGACCCGAAAACGGUAGCUAUUUGGUCCGGUUCGAGAGCGGCGGGCGUGAGGCCGAACGGACAGAGUCUUCCCCGUCCGCCCAAGGCUAACCAACGAGAUUGUGUACAACAAGUCCCCAGGAAAAACAACUUGAUUUCAUACACAAUCGAAAAAACGAUAACACAAACAGUGUUAAAACUAUCAAGAGUAAGCGAUACUAGUAAAAGCAUACAAGUAUACAAAAGAGAGAAACUUAACUAUUUGAACCAUGAAACUAGAAGCAUUUAAAUACAACUUGCAUUAAACUUCCUUUAAACCUUCAUACAUGUUUUUCCAUCUUUUCCAUAAUGAAAAUACAUCCAAAAACUCUCCGAAAUCUCACCCUAUGCAACACCUACUCUCAAAAUAUAAAGACAUGGUGGAGCUAAUGCAAGUAGGAAGUAAGCUACCAACUGAUACCGCUAGGGCGCCAAGCCCUCGCCGCGAUCCUCCCGCUCGGUCGGGACACUCGAACUAGCGCCUACAACAACGGGUGUGAGAACUACGAAUAGUUCCCAGUGGGUUCGGCCGCCGACUCCACCGAUCUACCCACUAGGUCGAAGCAGGCAUAGAGAGAUAUAUGCAAUAUAUAUAUAAAGCUAAACCAACUAAAAGCAGGUAUGGAAAUUAAGCAAGUAAGGAAACGUAAGCAAGUAGGUAGAAUCAUGAAUAUCUAGCUAUGCCUCAAUCUGAUAUCAUGCAUGCAUGAACAAUAGAUAAAGCUGGGUAGUAAGCUAUUAUGAACAACAACAACAAGUAAGCUAAAAUGAACAACCAUAGGGAAGCUACUACAACAACAAAUAAUGAGUGUGACUCAAUAGGUUACCCAAUUUUAUGGUGAACUCGAGGUUCACAAGCAUAACUCACGUGUAAGUCUCAUAGGGAAAGUCUCACUGAACUACUCCCGAGACCGCCUGCGGACAACACACAGACCGUCCAGACAGCACACUGACUGUCACUCUAGUGACCAACCUUCGAAGUGCACAGCUUGCGGGGAGCGACCCCUCCAAGCGCAGACAGGCUAUGUGAGC